rnacentral:rRNA from 1 species
AUUGAACGCUGGCGGCAGGCUUAACACAUGCAAGUCGAGCGGGGGAAGGUAGCUUGCUACCGGACCUAGCGGCGGACGGGUGAGUAAUGCUUAGGAAUCUGCCUAUUAGUGGGGGACAACAUCUCGAAAGGGGUGCUAAUACCGAAUACGAUCACGCUGCCGCAUGGCGGGGUGAUGAAAGAUGGCCUCUAUUUAUAAGCUAUCGCUGAAGGAUGAGCCUGCGUCUGAUUAGCUAGUUGGUGGGGUAACGGCCUACCAAGGCGAUGAUCAGUAGCCGGUAUGAGAGGAUGGACGGCGACAGUGGGACUGAGACACGACCCAGACUCCUACGGGAGGCAGCAGUGGGGAAUCUUCCACAAUGGACGAAAGUCUGAUGGAGCAACGCCGCGUGAGUGAAGAAGGGUUUCGGGUCGUAAAACUCUGUUGUUAGGGAAGAACAAGUGCUAGUUGAAUAAGCUGGCACCUUGACGGUACCUAACCAGAAAGCCACGGCUAACUACGUGCCAGCCGCCGCGGUAA